UUCCAUUAAACUUUGGUCACUUUUUCAUUGAAAAAUGUGGUAACAUAUUUUUCUCGAAAAGGAUCUACUUUCUGAAAUUAAACUCCAACUUAAAGUAGAAGGCACUCAUUGUCAGAUCUGUUUAACAUUUUUGAGUAAUUAUGAAAAUAUGGCUGUUGAAUCUAAGAGUCAAGACGGUGACUGAUUCCCAGCUGUAAUCUAGUAUAAUGCCAGGGAAAUCAGAUGGGAUCCUGGCUGGUUUCCACUUCCUGAGGCUUUUUAUUCUGAGUUUAUUUUUAAGACUAAUUAUCCUCACCUACAUAAACUUCCUGGAUUCCAGAAUACGUAAUUGGCUGGUCAAGUGUCUCUGCUAUCCAGAUGAGAGUUACCUAUCACGCAUCCUCAAAGGGACCCAAAAUUUGGACCAGAUGCCACCCAUUCAGAUGUGCCAAGAGGAACAGAAGCGUUAAAUUGUGGCAGUAUUGGCCAACAUGUGUAGCUCAUUGUUGCAAACAAGUGCUCAGCCAAUGGAGUGGCAUAUUGUCAUUGUGACCCAUAACUGUUGGAAGAGUUCCAGAAAUGACAUUAUGCAUUAAUACAGAGCAGGUGGCAGGACUGGAGCAUCAAUCCUGUCCCAUUGAGGUAUGAGCAGGAGCUUUGUGCUCCAGCUCCACAGGGCCCUUCCUCUCAGUUUCUGAGGUUCCAGCAGCAACCAGAAGAAGAUCAUAGCUGGGUGCUGGCAACAUGAAGAUCUUUGAUGACGUGACAAGAGCAGCCUCCGCAGUGUGAUAGGAAAUGAAACCUGAGCGCAGCGAGGGGGGCAGAGAUGUUGAAAUGAGAAAGUCAUGACAACCUCCACAGAUACCUCUUUCCAGAGGCUUUGCUGUGAAGACUGAAACAACUGGGAACUUAUGUGGGAUGAAGAGCUGCCUCCGGUGGUCUCGGCAGUGUCUCAAGUCUCCCGUCGGGUAGAUUCUUGCAGAAUGAGGCUGGAAGUGCCACUCAGAGGAUCUGAUUCUAACCUCUGCAUAAGCAAAAACCCAGGCCUUGUGUUCCUCAAUUGGGGCCUGGGCUCUCAUAUGCCACUUAUUUUUUCUUAAGUGGAGCAAAGAUUGUGUCAAUAAAAGCAAAGAAUACUUGUUUCAUAUAUAUUUAAAGCUGACGAGUACUUUGUAUAUCACAUUAAGUAGGAAAUUGCUCCAGCCACACUUUGGUAUAUGCGAAUUUGUCAAUCCAUGCUUCUUGUUGAAAAUUUCCUAAGUCAUUGUCCUAAAACAUUUUAAGUAGGAAAGGAUUAUUUGUCAUGAUUGCUGAAAAACUAUCUUUGAGGGAGCACAGCGUCAGAGGUCCUUUAAUUCACUUGGUGGUUAAAAUGUGGGCAAGCACUGAAAGUAAUAUGAAUUCAGACUAAAACAAGAGAUGUGAGUCCAUUCUACUCUCUACUAGACAGAUGCCAUUUAGAGCAGUGCCCAACCUGGGUUUUCUGGACCUCUGAGGAG
rnacentral:lncRNA from 1 species